ACAUUUGGCUUGUCGGUGUGUGUAGUAUAAAAUGAGUACGUGUUGGGGGGGGGCCUGGGGGGAACUGUUCUGACGGCAGUACUUUUGGGUUGUUCUAACUUCACAUGUGGAAGACAUUGGCUACACGGUGCCUUUACACGGGCCCCCAGAAACGGCCUUCCUGGCAGACGGACUGGCUGGCCGCAGCUGGGAAACAGAUGUAGAGGGAGUUUCACAAAGAAGAGAGCGGACAGCCGUGGUCGAGGUUGGGUCAUCUCCUGCUAAUCGGAGGACUUAUCUCUGCUAACCCUAAUCCUGAGGACAUUACCCUGUCUCACUGCAGGCUCCCAGGCACAGUGGGAACUCACACUCCCUGCUGGCUCAGGUGAAGCCAAGUGGGCCCAUCGAAGAGCCUACAGCCAGACCCACCAGCCUCACUGGGCCCGUGACAUGGCCGACGCCGGGAGGGAGGUCCUGUCCCUGCUAGAGAAGAUCUGGAGCAAGCUGCAGGGUCUUCCCACCGCCAGUCCUCUGGAGAUAGGGGCCUUCUGUGUCCUCAUCCUCUUUAUUCUGGUCUUCCUGGGCAUGCUGUUGAUGACCUGUGUGACCUGCUGUUGCUGCGGCCGGACCAGAACCAAGGACGCUCAGAGUCAGCUGACCCGAGAAGGUCCCCACCACCCUUAACCAUAAGGAGAGCCAAAAGCAGGCAGGACCAAUGCCGCAGUGUAAACCCGAAACCCUCUGAGACACUCUGGGCAUCCAAUAUACAGGCGUCCCUGCGGAGGGUGUGAAGUGACUCUAGAAAAGGAAUACAGCCUUAGAAACACAGACCUCUGUACAUUACAGACUCGAACGAAGCCUCCCAGAGAAGCAGCAUGACAGCAGUAUCAACAUUCCGUGGGGCAACCAUGAGCUCUGCAGGCCAAAAAUACGGUGUUUGACCAUGAAGAAGGAAAGCACAAGGCUGGGUUCUUACACAAAGAACCCAGAUGGGGGACAUAAACACACACACACACACACAUCAAAUAGCACAAACAACUGCACACAUUGCAAAAAGUACAACAUCUGAAGGAUGCACACGAGAGAAGACGAUGUCUGUCGGAUAUGUGGGUGUCAGCUACACCUCUGCCACUGACUCAGGGAAUAGACAUGUGGAAAGAACCCUUCUCAUUUAACGGAGACAUCUUGCCAAACCCCUUUCAGUGUUUCCACAUUUCUAUUGUCUAAAAGGACCUCUGCCGUGUGAUCAACAAAACCAAGCAAAUGACUGGUGAGAUUCAGAGGAGCGUGCCUGCCCUCUGCUGUACGGACACGGAACUGCAGCAAAGAAGCAUUGCAUUAAGACACACACCGUGACAUGUAAACAAUAUGACGUUGCUACCUUAUGUACUUUUGAAUACAAAUAGAUAUUUUUUGUAGCCUGCCUUGAAUAGUGCAAAAUGCUUUUGUAUCUCUCUUGCAUGAAAUAAAAGGUUUUUGUCAUAUGGCAGUCAUCCUCGCUCCACAGGAGGCAUUUUUCCUCUUACCAUCAUGAGAAAUGUUUAAUUGUCUUGACUGGCUAAAUAAAGAUUACAAAUAAAUUGA